CAGAGAGCCCUCUACAGGGAUGUCAUGCAGGAGAACUAUGAGACGGUGACCUCGCUGGGCUCGUCAAUUUGUUUGAUCAGAAGAUAAAAGGUCGUGUUUCGAAUCGGGUUCUACAGAAUUGAUAAAGGGACCUUCGGGGGUAUGACAGGAAGCUCACAGUGAGACAGAUAUAGUCAUAACGACUUUUUAUUAAACUCAAUGAAAUAUAGGCUUUCCAAUUUCCAAACCUGAUGUGAUCUCGCAGCUGGAACGAGGGGAAGAACCGUGGGUCCCGGACCUCCAGGGCUCUGAGAAAGAAGUGCUCCCGAGCUGCCUUCGCAGGUGAGGACUUGAUUAAACAACUCAACAACUGCUUAGGAAUGCAGGAAACAUUUGGGAUGCCCUACAAAGACCCCGUGAGCUCUUCAAUUUCAGGAUUGUUCCCUGCAGAUGUGGAAUCAUUAUGGCAGAUG